rnacentral:lncRNA from 1 species
AGAGAUUUUCUCAAGAAACCCUAUUUAGGGUUAAUGGGGUUGCAGCUAUAGAGGUUUUUAGUUUUUUUAUUACGAUUUUGAACCAUAAAUAAGUCAUUGAUGCUUGUAUUAGGAUAAGCUGAUUACAUUAAUAUGUCCUUUGGGUGCGACUCUUCCCCUUGGAUGCGGCUCUUCCUCAAUCCUUUGUGAAAGCAAGAUAUUUCGUGUAUCGAACUGCCUUAAGGUGGUACACAAAUGACUCUUUUUGUACUUUUCAACAGCUUUCUUGAACUGCAUCUGUCAAAAAACUCAACUCAUCAAACACUAUUUUUCUAUUUUGGAGAUGAAGAGAUUGUUUGCAGUUCAAUAAAGCUGUGGGAAGAUACACAUAGGGUCAUAAACAGUUUUUACAGUUGCAGAUUUUGAUUUUAUUACCGCAUGGUAAAUUUCAGGGAAAUUUAAACUGGAAUUCUGAUGGUGUUUAAGCUUGCUUUCCUGUAGUUGUUUAUGUAUGUUGAAAAUGAAAAGGUAUUUAUUAUGAUUCAUAGUAUAAUUUUUCGGCAAGGAAUAUCAGAGACCCCUAAGUACAAAAAGAUAAGCAAAAUUUACAAGUUUUCAUCCUUUACCUUUUUGCCUAUUUUAAGAGUAGACACGCCUGUCCUUUUACACUUUGCUAUUUAACUUGAAUCACAUAUUUGUGUCUUUUCGAGUAUUAGGAUUGUAGGUUGAUCGAGAUUUUCUCCUAGUCUCACCAGGCAUUAUUAGUAUUAGUUUUAAUUUACUAUUUUUAGUCCCUUGUUGGUACACCAUGUGUCAUUCUUACCGAUAGUAUUGAAACUAUUCUUGUAUUCCUACCUUUGUUAUUUACAUGGCUGUUUGCUUUUAUUGUCCUAUUAUCUUGAUGAUUCUAUUAUUUGUAUAUUGCUCCCUCUUUUGUUCCUGAGGGCCUAUCGAAAACAAGUACUCUACCCUUAUUAGGUAAGGAUAACGUUUGCGUAUAUAUUAUCCUCCCCAGAUUCUACUUGUGAGAUUUCAAAGAAAAAAGUAAACAUUUAUUUUGAUAAGAGAGGAAGAUCUAGUCCUUCGUCAAUCGAAUGUAAUUCAAAUUAUAAGGUAUAUCUAGUUCUACAUCAAUCGGAUUUUAUUCAAAUUAUAAGGUAUAUCUAGUUCUACAUCAAUCGGAUUUUAUUCAAAUUAUAAGGUACGUCUCUAUUAUCAUGUUUUAUCUAGAAAUUUAUUAUGUUAGAUUGCUAACAUGUUUUAGAUCGGACAAUUUUAAUUGCAACUUUACAGAUUUUUUUUCUCUAAAACUUUACGCCUUUAGGUGGCGCCUCCUUUAAUUAAAGGAUUUUAUUUAGAAUCCAUAUGGUAAAUUAUAUUAUGGUUCUUAAAACGUAGUGUGUUGAAUUACAUAAUUUAAUUUGAGGGAUUAAGUGGAACAGAAUUGACUGGUGGUAUAGUCGUGGAAACACUUGUUUCUUUCAUAUUUUGGACCUAGCUCUGUGGAAGAAUAUAUAAUUUGUGAAAUAUGAAAGAUUUGAAAUCUUAGAUCAAAACUCUAACAUAAUUAGAUCCCUUUUUAUGGAUUAUUUUUAAUACAAAAUUUCUAGCAACAUUAUACUGCAUAGCUUAUAAAUUUAAUGAGCAAUAUUUUCCUUGUAUUUGAAUGUAGGAUGGACCACAUUUUUGGCAUUUCCUUCUCAUAUGGAACCUUCCCAACCAAGUCUACAAAAAUUUUAAAGCCAUUUAUUUAAAUUACGUAAAGCAUUUUGUAUGUGCAUGCAUAGAUGUCAGACCAGAGUUUUGCCAGCCAUUUUGACCACUACAACAGAAAUUGCAGGAAAUACAAGUGGGGUUGCUUACCAUCAAAACAUAUCUUACAUAUUAAGUACUAAAAAUAUAUAUAUGUAAAAUAUAUAUUUUGUAUUUAUUGGUUUGACGUAAUUAAACACCGAAUAUGAAUAAAUUCUACACUGUAAAUUUUUUUUUUAUUGUAUAUAUUUACAAACUGCUUGGUCCAAUAAUAUAUAUCAUGUGCCAGGUCAUUACAGAUUAGUACUGAAAACGAUUAAUCAAUAGUAUGUACAACACAGUUUAUUUCAAUUAUAUCAUUCAUCCAAUCAAUUUAAAUACAAAGAUUCAUGUGUUAAAUUUAGCUGUUUAUACAGAAACGGACUCCUAGGCAAUCAGCUAGCCAGCUGUGACAUAUUAAAUUUAAGGGAAAAGGUUUAAAUUUGCCAUGUACAAUCAGAAAUUGCUAAUAUUGCCCUCAAUCGAUCAC